CCUACGGGGUGCAGCAGUGAGGAAUAUUGGUCAAUGGACGAGAGUCUGAACCAGCCAAGUAGCGUGAAGGAUGACUGCCCUAUGGGUUGUAAACUUCUUUUAUAUGGGAAUAAAAUGUUCCACGUGUGGGAUUUUGUAUGUACCAUAUGAAUAAGGAUCGGCUAACUCCGUGCCAGCAGCCGCGGUAAUACGGAGGAUCCGAGCGUUAUCCGGAUUUAUUGGGUUUAAAGGGAGCGUAGGUGGAUUGUUAAGUCAGUUGUGAAAGUUUGCGGCUCAACCGUAAAAUUGCAGUUGAAACUGGCAGUCUUGAGUACAGUAGAGGUGGGCGGAAUUCGUGGUGUAGCGGUGAAAUGCUUAGAUAUCACGAAGAACUCCGAUUGCGAAGGCAGUUCACUGGACUGCAACUGACACUGAGGCUCGAAAGUGUGGGUAUCAAACAGGAUUAGAUACCCAGUC
rnacentral:rRNA from 1 species